rnacentral:lncRNA from 1 species
UGUUAAUUUGAAACUCAGUAGCAUGGAUACAGAUAGUGAUUAUAGCCUGUGAAUCUGCUAAUAAUAUUUAUUCCAAUAAUCUUUGGCACUUCUCCCAGAAGAUUUUUCAGAUUCAUCUGUGUGGAUUAAAGUUCAUUCUCUUAUCAAAAUGCUGGCUGUGAUUCUCUGGCUAUGAAAGGUGUGUUUUUGCCCUUCUGUUUUCAUGAGCAAAGUCCUGCCUUCAUUUCUUAAUGAGUGUUCCUUUGUUUUUCUUCCUUCCGCCUCCUCACACUGAACUUGUCAAUUUAGAUAGGAAAACACUGUACUGUGCAGAAUAAAAUAAAAACAUCUCCAUGUAUGGUUGGACAAACUUAUUUUUAAACUUAGGCAUUUGGUGUAACACUUCAUAUUAGGGAAUAAAGUUCUGAUAAGGCUAGUGGAAAUGGAGUUCUUUAGAGGACUAUUUCAUAAUUUAAACGUUUUAGCGUGUUAUUAGGGUAAAAGUAUGUUUCAAUAUCUUGAGUACAACUCUGGCUUAACAUAGUAUUUUUUUCCUGUGAAAACUUUCAUUUCACUAGAAAUUUAUUUCAGGAGAACAAAACAGACGUGUGUGUGUGGGUGUGUUGCAUAUGUCUUUGCUGGUGGAUUAGGGUGGGUAGAGACAUAUUGUUGGAUCUUGUUCUUUGAUCCAUCCUGCCACUCUGCGUCUUUUGAUUGGGGAGUUCAAUCCAUUUACAUUUAGAGUGAUUAUUGAGACGUGGGGGCCUACCACUACCAUUUUGUGUCUUGUUUUCCGGUUUUCUUCAGUUUCCUUUGUUUCUCGUCCCAUGGUUUAAUCUGUUCUGAUGUAGAGCUGCUACUCUCUGUUGUUGUCCUUCUACUUAUCUCCUCUGCUCUUGGUUUUGUAGCCCCUUUCCUUUUUUGGAUUUUUCAGGAAUGAGGGUUUUUCCUGAGGAUUUCCUGAAGAGGAGGUUUUGUGACAAUGAACUCCCUUAAUUUUUGUUUAUCUGGGAAAGUUUUUAUUUCUCC